UGUAAAACAACGAUCCCAAACAAUGAAUUCCAAACUGUUUAUUUUUGUCAUAUUGGCAACUGCUUUGUUGGUGUCUGUAUCCGCAGCACCAGCAAUGAAGAAAGGAGACAUCGUAGUUGUUGUUGGUCGCAAACGCCGAGACGCCGACAUUAAAUGCUUUGACAUUUCCCAUGGAUCUGUGGAACCAAAUGGUCACGGAUGCCGUCAAAUCGACCUUAAUUCGUUACCAAUUGAAAAUGUAUAAUAACUUUAUUAUAAUCCACAAUAAACUUUAAAUCGUAA